AAAUCAGGUAGGACUACCCGCUGAACUUAAGCAUAUCAAUAA
rnacentral:rRNA from 2 species